GUAACAAUGAGUAGGGGGCACAGCAGCACGUGGUUUGUGAGCUCCUUUAGAGGGACUGAUGGGGAGGGAGUUUCAGAGAAGCCUUCAGAGGUGAUGAAAACGAAAAGUUCCCGAGACCAGGGAGGGUGAACCAGGUGUGACUCCACACUCCUCCCCGUCCUGCCCGGGCGUCUGUAUGCCAACACUGUUUUAUCAUGUCACAUUCCUCCUGACACUUCUCCUUCCCUUGGAGGGACCAUUCCAUUAGUUACGCAUCAACUAUCAGAAACUCGUGCAGCGCUGGAGUUGAAGACCAAGUCACUUGUGCCAGAUGAAGACAAAGUGCUUAUUUUCCUUCAGGAAUAGAAGAAAACGAUUCUGAGAAACAGUAGGAAGCUCAGAAAAUUAAAUCCAGUAUCUCAACCAGGGAGGGACAUGAAACUUGUAAUGCAAGGCUGAGAAACACCUGAAUCUUAAUUAAGUACCAUCAUCCGAAAUCUACUAUCCUGUAGAAAAUACUUAAAUGACAUCCACGUGAGAAAAACCACAGCAAGUGACGUCAUCAUUGCCUUCCAGUGGGUGCGAUCUAUCCCAGGAAUGUAGAAGGAACAGUGGAGGUGUGGCCAUCGCUGCCCAGUUCCUGCAGACUUUCCACCUUGGCCAGAAGGUGAAGUUGU